ACGAACGCUGGCGGCAUGCCUAACACAUGCAAGUCGAACGAGACCUUCGGGUCUAGUGGCGCACGGGUGCGUAACGCGUGGGAACCUGCCCUUAGGUUCGGAAUAACUCCCCGAAAGGGGUGCUAAUACCGGAUAAUGUCUUCGGACCAAAGAUUUAUCGCCUUUGGAUGGGCCCGCGUUGGAUUAGCUAGUUGGUAGGGUAAAAGCCUACCAAGGCGACGAUCCAUAGCUGGUCUGAGAGGAUGAUCAGCCACACUGGGACUGAGACACGGCCCAGACUCCUCGGGGAGGAGGAGGGGGGGAAUAUUGAAAAAGGGGCGAAAGCUGGACCCACCAAUGCCGCGGGAGGAAUAAAGGCUUGGGGGUUGAAAAGCUUUUUCCCCCGGGAUGAAAAGAACAGACCCGGAAAAAAAGGCCCGGCCAACCCCCGCC
rnacentral:rRNA from 1 species